rnacentral:rRNA from 1 species
UACGUAGGCAGCGAGCGUUGUUCGGAGUUACUGGGCGUAAAGAGUGCGUAGGCGGUUUUCUAAGUUUGGUGUGAAAUCUCCCGGCUUAACUGGGAGGGUGCGCCGAAGACUGGAAGGCUUGAGUAUGGGAGAGGUAAGCGGAAUUCCUGGUGUAGCGGUGAAAUGCGUAGAUAUCUGGAGGAACACCGGUGGCGAAGGCGGCAUCCUGGACCGGUAUUGACGCUGAGGCGCGAAAGCCAGGGGAGCAAACGGG